AUUGAACGCUGGCGGAAUGCUUUACACAUGCAAGUCGAGCGGCAGCGCGGGGCGACCUGGCGGCGAGCGGCGAACGGGUGAGUAACAUAUCGGAACGUACCCAGUUGUGGGGAUAACACACCGAAAGGUGUGCUAAUACCGCAUACGACCUGAGGGUGAAAGGCGGGGACGUCGCAAGAGCCUCGCGCAAUUGGAGCGGCCGAUAUCGGAUUAGCUAGUUGGUGGGGAAAGGCUCACCAAGGCGACGAUCCGUAGCGGGUCUGAGAGGACGACCCGCCACACUGGAACUGAGACACGGUCCAGACUCCUACGGGAGGC
rnacentral:rRNA from 1 species